UUGGGGCACUCUCUGGCCAAAUGCCCUGGUUGCCCGCACCCCCAGCAGACACUGGGUCGCGGCCGGUGCGAUUGUUGUAGUGACACCGCCCUGAUCAGUUCAGUCACUUCCGUAACCCACGAUGGUUUCUCUGCCUCUGGAGGGACCGCCAUCGCCGCCCUGGCCAUAGGUGCUCCCUCACUAUGGUAGCCUCCAGGCGCUGUACCCCACACAUUCUCUCUCUCCGCAGCCAACUCGAAAGCUGCUUGCAACGACUGUGGGUGCUGCAGCUGGACCUGGACACGCAGCUCCGUGGGAACAAGUGCCCUGAUGAACUGGUCCCGCGCCAGCUCGUUCUGCACUUCAGGGGGCAUGUGGGCAUAAGCCCUCCGUGACAAACUUUCCACAUCGUUUGCCAACGCCCGCAGCGGCUCUCCCGGUCUUCUGCAGCGAUUGUUUAGUUCAUUCCGCAGGAGUUUGACCGCCUCUGGAACGACCCUACCAGCGCUGGGUAACAACGUCUGUCUUCGGGGCUCAGCAGCAGCAGGCAUGACAGCGCAUCCACCGUGAGACACAGCGCCAGCUGAAGUGCCUUAGUCUCAUUGGACCAUUCCCCUGCAUGCGACAGCAAUUCAAAUUGAGCCAGGAAAGCCUCCCAUGGCGUCCUACCGUCGUAUUUCGGUGUUUUUACCGUAGGGACUGCCGAGCGAUGGGCGCCGCCAUUGUAGUUUGACGCUACAUUCCCCGGAGUAACCGCGGGAAAAUCCGCUGCGGGACUGAUGCCAGCGUCCCUAGCCAUCCUCACUGCAGACUCUCUCAAACGAGCCCUCGCGCCCCUAGUAGCCCCGUCGAAACUUCUGGCCAUGUCUUUCGACCACCCGCUAGCUCCCUCCUCCGCUUCUUUCCUCUCUUCCUUUACCGUAACGUAGCCGCUCGUCCCGCCGACACGAUCCAUGCCCACAGCAGGCUAACCGCUAGCUUUCCACCGGGUUCAACGAUAUCGUCCGUACGAAGACACUUCUGACACCAAUGUAACGUCCGGGCGUGGUGAAUUACUCAACACGCUGAGGCGAUUAGUUGCAGGGCAGAGAUCCUUUUAUUUAGCCAAACACAACAGCGUCGGACACGGUAUUCCCAGCUCACUCGGUAAACCACACAACAACACAACAACCGGAACUACGUCAUGCUACCCCGGCCAGACCCUCCCACGUCCCGUCCGAUUGGCCGGAGCGCCUGGAAUGACGCAACCUGACCGAGUCCCCAACAGGGUCGCUACAAUACUAACAAACCUUUCCAUAAUGUUUUCAGAUAUUCAGAGAUUGCGAGUGGCAGAAAACAUUGAAGAGUGGCCUUGAGCGUUUAUGUGGCCGCCCGUCAUGCUCUUCGAUGGUGGUCAGAUUAAUUAUUUGAGCGGGGACUUUAUGCAGUGAGAAUACGUUUUUUUCUGCUUUCGACGAAAAAGAAAGACACUGAGAUGGAAAAUGACGUCACUUUGUUUGUGCUGUAAAUUGAAGCUUUAAAAAUUCCAGUUCAUUGGAAGGAAUAACGUGACUUGUGCUUCCAGGAGAAAAUGCCACUGAGCACGGUCAGGAGGUCCGCUCAGACAAACGUAACAAACCAGCACAGUGGUGCUCGUGAACAAGAGUAGUGGAAAUGAAAAGGCCGCUCGGCCUCCUGCCUCACAUAUGAAGCCGCUAGUCACAAAGACGGGGUCAGGAGGUCAAAUAGUGCAUUUAUUUACACCUCAGCCGAGUUAUUAAGCACCUUGCUCCCCACCAGUAUUACUUAAUCUCUUUUAGAUGAUGAUGAUGAUGCAGUUUGGGUCAAACGGUGCACUUUAUCCACAAAGCUUCAUGUUCUACAAUUCUAUUUCUGACCGGUCUACUUUAAGAGCCAGUGUGACGUUGACUUUUAUCUGUAACUUCAUGUAGUUUGUAGCAUGUCUCUCCUCCUCUAACCUGAUAAUCAAAAGCUUUUUCGUAGUGCUAAGUUGGAGAAUCAUUGCCCUGUGUUGCUGAAGAUUUCAAGGUCAGAGGGGAAGCAGGAUGUGCCGAGCAUGCAAACACAAGUCUGAUAAGGAGGGAGUUAGGGACACACCAAGUACCCUACAACACACACACACUUUGGUUGUUUUGUUUACAUUACGAUUAAAAGACCCCUUGACCGACCUGACCCGGAAGGGUACGUCAGAUCCGGUCCAGUGGUCGGAGCAGCGCCAGCGGGCGUUUGAGAAGACCGACACAUCGGACAGGGGGCUGGGGGCCGUUUUGUCCGAGGAGGGAGGCCAGGUACAGCACGGUGGUCACCCUCUGUUCGGACCACGCCCCGCUCCAAUGGCUCCACCGCAUGAAGGAUACCAACGCCCGGAUCGCUCGGUGGUAUCUGGCUUUACAGCCUUUUAACUUCAAGGCGGGCCAUAGGCCGGGGAGCCGCCCCCGGCCUAAGUCGGGCGGUGGGGGUAUGUGGUGGCGGGCGUGGUUUUUGCUCGGCUGCAGAGGAGAAAGAGGGGGAGCGGCUCAGGGAACGGCGCCAGGUGAGAACAAUGAUAAUCAGGUAGAACCUGAUUGUGACGGGAGAACGGGGGCCAACGGGACUGAACGUAGCGACCGAGAGACGUCAGCGAGCAGAACAAAAACAAUAAAAAUCCAAACUCAUAACCAACCUUGCAGUCUUCUUCAUUUCCGGAACCCCUCCCCCAGAACCCAGACUUGUUACAGUCCCCAUCCAGGCUUCUCUUUUUAAGUUAUCUAACAAACCCCACGCUGAGAAGGCAGCUGCUGGUCCUACGUCGGCCGUCGUGGUGGGAAGCAGGUGGUGUCUCUGGCCCGCAGCGGAUGCCUGUACCACGGCACCGUCCAGCACGAGCUGCUCCACGCUCUGGGCUUCAACCACGAGCAGACCCGC